UUACAGCAAACUCGACGACGGAUAGCAGAUCUCCACAAACUAAUGGGUGACGUCACACAUGCUCUGUCCAUUAAUAUUAACAGUCUAUGGUACCGAACGGUUUUGGAUGAGGACCCGCUUGUGGAUUACCUGUGGAUAGAAGACGACCAGAACGGAUUGUGGACGGUGAAGCAGUGGACGGUGAGGUAGUGUUGAAAAUCCCCCUCCUACGCUGUCAAUUAUCCUGAAUAAAACUUCCCAACUGUGUUCAACUGUACUCCUGGUGCCGGCUUUUGUCAUUGAACUGGUGACGUGGAAAGCCCACACCCCAGGGCUUGCAACACAAGAUACCAUUCAAAUCACCUUCAUGCAGUUGGUUCAUUUUAAUGGCACAGGCAUAUAGACCCUUGAGCAUUUGGCCUCCAGUCUGGUGCCUGGGAUCUAAGGAUAUUCUGCUCCUGAAGACUUUGAUAUAUUGAUACAACAUGAAAAAUUCAUAGACAGUUUAUUACAUUUUUGUUUUAAAACGCAAAACUUUUGCUACGUUUACGUCCAGUGUCCACACACCUUAAAAGGAGACAUUUGAAAAUGCUGCCAAUCCCAUUUUAGUUUCAUAACUCCUCUUAUCAGUCACGGCUACUACUUCCUACAUGUGCAAGAUGUAAGCUAUUAUUCAAGCAAUCUGCGACAGUUCCAAUGUCCUGUGGGUUUAUUGGGUGAACAAAUAAUGGUUCAUGAAGCUUCAUUUGGACAUCACUACUAAAAGAUAUUAGUUUUCACAGCUUACCCCAGUAUGUAGAAUAUGUUAAUACCUGUGGAUGCAGCAACUGCCCCAAGCAGUAUAGAAGGUAUCCCAAAUACAGGGAAGAUGACAGCAGCGACCAAGCAAGUGAUCUUGGCUGUGGAUGUUGAAGACGCCGACAAAGUCCUCUGGUGGAAGCCCUGAUAUCCCACAUUCCCUAGUGCCUGAAAAUUUCUGUCCUAGUUGUGUCAGCUGUGUUCUCCUCACCUGUCAUUGUGAAGAUCCCCACCACCAAGCCAAUGUUCCGGUUUCCCAGCAGGGCCAUCUCUGUUCCAGUGGCUGCACUUUUCUUCUGUUCCCUUUUGGACUUGAAAGAAGCCCAGAUGCCGGUCCCGAGGACCAGCAGGUAGAAAAACACCAUCGCUAUCACUCCUGGGAUGUUAACAGCCAUGAUGGAUGUUGACUGGCUUCUUCACUAGCUGAUGUCUGACUGACUGACUGACUGACUGACUGACUGAUUGACUGAGUUUUGAGGAAAACAGGAGCAACAUAGCAGAGGAACUUUAUAUAUUCAUCAAUGCCCUCUGAUGAAAUAGAUGGUUACAGGUUUAGGUUGGUGUAGAAAUCUAUUGAGUUUAGAAUAAGAAUGUCCUGUAGCCUGGGAUGGCCUCGCUGUCUCCUCCUGUCUGGCAUGUGCAAGAUAAGACGGGUUCAAAUUUAGUGGAGCAAAAGUGCGCCUGAUUUGUUUAAUAAACAAAUGGAACAGAAGGCACCUAAUAAAAUCUCUUAAAGGAACAGACAAUCUGUAGGCCAUGAGAGAAGAAGAGAAUGAGAGCGAUCCCAAGGCUAGCGCGCAACUUCUCUAUCUUUUCAGAGACAGAAAGUCGGAGUGAUAUCCAACCAAUUGGCGGCCCAGACGCAGUGACUGGAGGAGGAACCUGAUGAUGAAUAAAAGAAUAGGGAAAAGGAAGGUCCGGGGUCAGACCUGGAGAGACUUUGUUGGUGGUUAGGGAGAGAAAG